rnacentral:rRNA from 1 species
AUUGGACGCUGGCGGCAUGCCUUACACAUGCAAGUCGAACGGCAGCACGGGGCAACCUGGUGGCGAGUGGCGAACGGGUGAGUAAUGCAUCGGAACGUACCUUUCAGUGGGGGAUAACGUAGCGAAAGUUACGCUAAUACCGCAUAUUCUGUGAGCAGGAAAGCAGGGGAUCGCAAGACCUUGCGCUGAUUGAGCGGCCGAUGUCAGAUUAGCUAGUUGGUGAGGUAAAGGCCCACCAAGGCGACGAUCUGUAGCGGGUCUGAGAGGAUGAUCCGCCACACUGGAACUGAGACACGGUCCAGACUCCUACGGGAGGCAGCAGUGGGGAAUUUUGGACAAUGGGGGCAACCCUGAUCCAGCCAUGCCGCGUGAGUGAAGAAGGCCUUCGGGUUGUAAAGCUCUUUCGGCCGGGAAGAAAUCGCACGGGCUAAUACCCUGUGUGGAUGACGGUACCGGAAUAAGAAGCACCGGCUAACUACGUGCCAGCCGCCGCGGUAAUAC